rnacentral:rRNA from 1 species
GCAUGUGCGCGAGUCAUUGGGACUCAGUUAAACCUAAAGGCGCAAUGAAAGUAAAGGUCCGCCUCGCGCGGACCGAGGGAGGAUGGGCCCGUCCACGGGCGGGCCCCGCACUCCCGGGGCGUCUCGUUCUCAUCGCGAGAAGAGGCGCACCCAGAGCGUACACGCUGGGACCCGAAAGAUGGUGAACUAUGCCUGGUCAGGACGAAGUCAGGGGAAACCCUGAUGGAGGUCCGUAGCGAUUCUGACGUGCAAAUCGAUCGUCGGAACUGGGUAUAGGGGCGAAAGACUAAUCGAA